rnacentral:rRNA from 1 species
UACGGGGGGGGCAAGCGUUGUUCGGAAUUACUGGGCGUAAAGGGUUCGUAGGUGGCCAACUAAGUCAGACGUGAAAUCCCUCAGCUUAACUGGGGAACUGCGUCUGAUACUGGAUGGCUUGAGGUUGGGAGAGGGAUGCGGAAUUCCAGGUGUAGCGGUGAAAUGCGUAGAUAUCUGGAGGAACACCGGUGGCGAAGGCGGCAUCCUGGACCGACAUUGACGCUGAGGAGCGAAAGCUAGGGGAGCAAACGGG